rnacentral:rRNA from 1 species
UGCGUAGGCGGGCUAAUAAGUCAGUGGUGAAAUCUCUGGGCUCAACCGGGAAACUGCCAUUGAUACUGUUAGUCUUGAGUUCGGUUGAGGUAGGCGGAAUGUGUAAUGUAGCGGUGAAAUGCUUAGAUAUUACACAGAACACCAAUUGCGUAGGCAGCUUACUAGACCGACACUGACGCUGAGGCACGAAAGCGUGGGGAGCGAACAGGAUUAGAUACCCUGGUAGUCC